rnacentral:rRNA from 1 species
CUGGUGCCAGCAGCCGCGGUAAUUCAGNUCCAAUAGCGUAUAUUAAAGUUGUUGCAGUUAAAAAGCUCGUAGUUGAAUUUCGAGAUCGGCUUACUGGUCGUGCUUUUGUACGUACUGGUAUAAUCGGUUUCUCCUUUCUGACGAACUAUAAUGCCAUUCAUUUGGUGUUAUAGGGAAUCAGGACUGUUACUUUGAAAAAAUUAGAGUGUUUAAAGCAGGCUCACGCUUGAAUACAUUAGCAUGGAAUAACGGAAUAGGACGUUUGAUUCUAUUUUAGUUGGUUUCUAGGAUCGACGUAAUGAUUAAUAGGGAUAGUUGGGGGCAUUAGUAUUCAAUUGUCAGAGGUGAAAUUCUUGGAUUUAUUGAAGACUAACUACUGCGAAAGCAUUUGCCAAGGAUGUUUUCAUUAAUCAAGAACGAAAGUUAGGGGAUCGAAGACGAUCAGAUACCGUCGUAGUCUUAACCAUAAACUAUGCCGACUAGGGAUCGGAUGAUGUUAAUUUUUUUAAUGACUCAUUCGGCGCCUUACG